UUUUGUUAUACACUUGCAUUAAACUACAAAUUGACCGAAUUAAGAUUGCCACUGAAGCUAAUCAGGGCUGUGCCCGGUCAGUACCUGGAUGGGAAACCACAUGGGAAAGCUAGGUUGUUGCCAGAA
rnacentral:rRNA from 1 species